UACAGAGGUCUCAAGCGUUGUUCGGAUUCAUUGGGCGUAAAGGGUGCGUAGGCGGCGCGGUAAGUCGGGUGUGAAAUCUCGGAGCUUAACUCCGAAACUGCAUUCGAUACUGCGGUGCUUGAGGACUGGAAGAGGAGACUGGAAUUCAUGGUGUAGCAGUGAAAUGCGUAGAGAUCAUGAGGAAGACCAGUGGCGAAGGCGGGUCUCUGGACAGUUCCUGACACUGAGACACGAAGGCCAGGGGAGCAAACGGG
rnacentral:rRNA from 1 species